rnacentral:rRNA from 1 species
ACUUCGGUACAUCGGUGACAGGUGGUGCGAUGGUUGUCGUCAGCUCGUGUCGUGAGAUGUUGGGUUAAGUCCCGCAACGAGCGCAACCCCUAUUGUUAGUUGCCAUCAUUCAGUUGGGCACUCUAGCGAGACUGCCGGUAAUAAACCGGAGGAAGUGGGGAUGACGUCAAAUCAUCAUGCCCCUUAUGACCUGGGCUACACACGUGCUACAAUGGUUGGUACAACGAGUUGCGAGUCGGUGACGGCGAGCUAAAUCUCUUAAAGCCAAUCUCAGUUCGGAUUGUAGGCUGCAACUCGCCUACAUGAAGUCGGAAUCGCUAGUAAUCGCGGAUCAGCACGCCGCGGUCGAAUACGGUUCCGGCCUU